GGGUUGUGAGGUUAAGCGACUAAGCGUACACGGUGGAUGCCCUGGCAGUCAGAGGCGAUGAAGGGCGUGCUAAUCUGCGAUAAGCGCCGGUAAGGUGAUAUGAACCGUUAUAACCGGCGAUACCCGAAUGGGGAAACCCAGUGUGACUCGUCACACUAUCAUUAACUGAAUCCAUAGGUUAAUGAGGCGAACCGGGGGAACUGAAACAUCUAAGUACCCCGAGGAAAAGAAAUCAACCGAGAUUCCCCCAGUAGCGGCGAGCGAACGGGGAGGAGCCCAGAGCCUGAAUCAGCAUGUGUGUUAGUGGAAGCGUCUGGAAAGGCGCGCGAUACAGGGUGACAGCCCCGUACACAAAAGCGCAUGUGCUGUGAGCUCGAUGAGUAGGGCGGGACACGUGGUAUCCUGUCUGAAUAUGGGGGGACCAUCCUCCAAGGCUAAAUACUCCUGACUGACCGAUAGUGAACCAGUACCGUGAGGGAAAGGCGAAAAGAACCCCGGCGAGGGGAGUGAAAAAGAACCUGAAACCGUGUACGUACAAGCAGUGGGAGCACCCUUUGGGUGUGAC
rnacentral:rRNA from 2 species